rnacentral:rRNA from 1 species
AUUGAACGCUGGCGGAAUGCUUUACACAUGCAAGUCGGGCGGCAGCGCGGGGGCAACCCUGGCGGCGAGCGGCGAACGGGUGAGUAACACAUCGGAACGUACCCUGUCGUGGGGGAGUAACGAAUCGAAAGAUUCGCUAAUACCGCAUACGACCUGAGGGUGAAAGCGGGGGAGUCGCAAGACCUCGCGCGAGAGGAGCGGCCGAUGGCGGAUUAGCUAGUUGGUGGGGUAAAGGCCCACCAAGGCGACGAUCCGUAGCGGGUCUGAGAGGACGGCCCGCCACACUGGGACUGAGACACGGCCCAGACUCCUACGGGAGGCAGCAGUGGGGAAUUUUGGACAAUGGGGGCAACCCUGAUCUAGCCAUGCCGCGUGAGCGAUGAAGGCCUUAGGGUUGUAAAGCUCUUUCAGGGGGGAAGAUAAUGACUGUACCCCCAGAAGAAGCCCCGGCUAACUCCGUG